AACAAGCUUUUUCACAGUGUUUCCUUCGAAUGCCAAUAUUCCAAACGAAUCCGGAAAAAAUAUAAAUAUUUGAAUAGAAAAAAAGUUUAAUUUCAAAAAAGAAAAAUGAAGAUUCGUCCAGAAAUGUUAAUUGGUUGGCUCGGUGUCGUUGUGAACAUAUUAUGUUUAAUCGUUUUCGAAGCAACUGGCCUUGCCGAUGACAAUAUUGCAGGAUCAUUUGUGUACAAUUUGAUAGGCUGCAUCGUCUGGCUUGUUGGGCUCGGAUUAAACUUUCCAUUACUGCUGCUACUCACAUUAUUUUGGUGGGUUGUGCCGUUGUCGAUUUGGGCUAUUUAUGUAUCAUUUAAUUUACAUAGCGUAUUGGCUCGAUAUUACGAUUCGGAUUAUGUUCGUAGAAGACAAAUUAGUUAUUCCUACUUUGGAUCGGCAGUUUUCAUUCUUGUCUUGAGUGCCAUUUAUGACUACUUGGCACUUAAAAUCUAUUUACAGUUGGAAAAGUCCCGUGAAUCAAAUGGACAAAAUAUGGCAAUGAAACCACCAACAUAUAUACCGGCAUUACUGACAGAAGCUGAAAAUGUUUAAGUUUAGGGGAUAUCAUCUAUUCGUGAAUGGGCAAUAUUUAUUAGUUUGUACAAUUUGAUAGGCUGCAGCGUCUGGCUUGUUGGGAUCGGAAUGAACUUUCCAUUACUGCUGCUACUCACAUUAUUUUGGUGGGCUAUUCCGUUGUCGCUUUGGGCUAUUUAUAUAUCAUUUAAUUUACAUAGCGUAUUGUCUCGAGAUUACGAUUCGGAUUAUUAUUUCUAUGAUAGACGAGAGGUUUACUCCUACUUUUGGUCUGCCCUUUUCAUACUUGUUUUGAGUGCCAUCUAUGACUACUUGGUACUGAAAAUUUAUUUGCGGUUGAGAAAUUCCCGUCAAACAAAUGGACAGAUUAUCGCUUUGCAUCCACCACCAUUAUACACCGGCAUAUACGCCGGCAUUACUGACAAAAUCUGAAAAUGUUUAAUUAGUCAGAGAUUUAUUUUUUUCGCUCAAUAAGUGCCAACAAACUUUCAAAUAAGUCAAUAAUAAAUAUAAAUUUCGAAUAAAUUGCAUAUAAAACAGUUUUGCAUCAAUUUUUAUUUGUUUUUCAUGAGGCGUAGCUAUCUUCUAUGUACCGCUGAUAAAAUGUCUGACAGAUUUCAUUCUGGGAAUUAUACAUCACAUCAAUGUUUACGAAGAAUAAAUAUGAUCAUGUCGU